UAGGGAAUCUUCCGCAAUGGACGAAAGUCUGACGGAGCAACGCCGCGUGAGUGAAGAAGGAUUUCGGUUCGUAAAACUCUGUUGUUAGGGAAGAAAAAAUGUAUAGUAACUAUAUACAAAAGAGACGGUACCUAACCAGAAAGCCACGGCUAACUACGUGCCAGCAGCCGCGGUAAUACGUAGGUCCCGAGCGUUGUCCGGAUUUAUUGGGCGUAAAGCGCGCGCAGGUGGUUUAGAAAGUCUGAUGUGAAAGCCCACGGCUCAACCGUGGAGGGUCAUUGGAAACUAAUAAACUUGAGUGCAGGAGAGAAAAGUGGAAUUCCUAGUGUAGCGGUGAAAUGCGUAGAGAUUAGGAGGAACACCGGUGGCGAAAGCGGCUUUUUGGCCUGCAACUGACACUGAGGCGCGAAAGCGUGGGGAGCAAACAGG
rnacentral:rRNA from 1 species